rnacentral:lncRNA from 8 species
GGGCAAUUAGCAAUGCUUACUGUAAGCAGAAAACAAAUUACAAUUUGGCAAAUUACUUUAUGGAAGUUUCUUUACUUCAUGUCCUUUAUAAAAGUUUGUGUUGCCACCUUGUGGUUAUAGCUUGCACCUUACAGAGAUAUAAAACAUUUGGUAGCAGUUAUUACAACACUUCCUUUGACCGUUUGACUCUUGUUGGUGGCCUCUCAUCACCUUCAUAACAGUGGCGGUUCUAGACCAUUUCAACUGGGGGGCCAAGCUGGGGCCAGUUGUACUGUUAGAGGAGCCAGUUACAUUAGACGUUAUUGUUGUCAUAUUGUUUUCUUCACUGCAUUGCAGGCAUUAGCAGGCAAAAGACCAUGUUCAUAAUCAUUAGUGUUCCGCGUUGCCGCUGUCUAAUAACGGAUGUAAAAAAAGAACGAUAGCAAAAAUGUGUUAUGUCAAAAUGAUUUCAUACUCCACAUUUAGUUCAUAAGUGGGUUGGUCGCGCCCACUAACUCCGGCUCCAUGGGAACCGGGACUUUUGGACGAAGAACUCGGUUGAACCGCGAGGAGGAGGAAGAUUUGUGACAGCGCACAAGGAAGGACACGCCUGCUCGUUACAUCGACAGUUUGUGUGGGUAGACCGUGCGUGUUGUUCUGACGGAGAAUUUAUAAUACUCACCUCUACUCAAUGAACCUACCUUUCGCUUGUUAUUUUGUCCCCGACGGUUGUGGUUUUCUGCGUCAUAGCAACAGAGAUGUAAAUCAAGUUAGCCUCCACCUCUUCAUUUGAUAUGCAGCUACUGACAUAACCAGGAGCGCUGAAGUGACAGAGUGCAGCGGAAGAUGGACAUCCGGAGUGGCAUACAAAAGGCAGUGGAGCCCCUCCCUGCCUCUCUCCCCUCUUCCCCUCAACAGUCGGGUGCCCAUCAGCAGAGCGAGCCGGAGGACAGCCAGGCAGAACGGAGUGCCAGGCCCACCGCUGACAACCACAGCAACGACACCCAGCCAGCCGCCGGCCACCGAGACGACAAAAAAUUGAUGACACCUCUCCCAGCUCUUACGGACACCUACCCUUGA